UACAGAGGUGGCGAGCGUUAUUCGGAUUUACUGGGCGUAAAGAGCUCGUAGGCGGUCUGUCGCGUCGAAUGUGAAACCCCGAGGCUCAACCUCGGGUCUGCAUUCGAUACGGGCAGACUAGAGUUCGGUAGGGGAGUCUGGAAUUCCUGGUGUAGCGGUGAAAUGCGCAGAUAUCAGGAGGAACACCGGUGGCGAAGGCGGGACUCUGGGCCGAUACUGACGCUGAGGAGCGAAAGCGUGGGGAGCGAACAGG
rnacentral:rRNA from 1 species